rnacentral:rRNA from 1 species
CGAGUGGCGAACGGGUGAGCAAUACAUCGGAACGUGUCGAGAAGAGGGGGAUAACCACCCGAAAGGGUGGCUAAUACCGCAUAAAUUCUGAGGAAGAAAGCUGGGGACCUAGGAAUAGGCCUAGCGCUUUUUGAGCGGCCGAUGUCGGAUUAGCUAGUUGGUGAGGUAAAGGCUCACCAAGGCGAAGAUCUGUAGCCGGUCUGAGAGGAUGAACGGCCACAUUGGGACUGAGACACGGCCCAG